AUGGACCAAUCCAUCCCUUUUUCCCGUGCAUAUGCAUCGGACUCGGAUGACGAUGGUCCCGAUGAAGAAGUUGAUGAGGAGGGGUUCACGCUGAAGGAGGCCGAAGCAUUCAAGAAGGUAUUCGGGCGGGAUCCCAAGACACCAUUGUUCAAGGAUCUUAGUCUCGCGGAUGAAGCCGUUGUGGAUGGUGGCAAAUGCAUAUCUCUUGGAGCUAGGCCAAGUUCUCACCGUGAUUUGAAAGACGGCAAGAACGGGAUAUAUCCCGGUUGUGAGUUUCAAUCCUUCUUGGAAUUGAAGAUGUGGCUCGACAACUACUCGGUUACACAUUAUCGUCCACAUAAAGUGGCCAACUCGGAUGUUAAUGUGUGUUACACGGUCAAAUGUGAAGUGCCAACAUGUCCAUGGAUUGUGCGUGCAAGGCCAUGGAAAGGAGGUCCCACUUGGCGCAUAGUGAGUUGUCUACCAACUCACAUGUGCCGGCACAAGAAUGCGGAUGGCAAGCUUGUGCACCAACAACACAGACAACUCACGUCCGAGUUCAUUGCUUACAGGCUGUCCAACCAAAUAUCCACACUUCCAAUAAUGAGCAUCAAGAGUGUCAUUGACCUUGUGAAAGCCAUCUUUCAUUACAAGGUGAAGUACGGCAAGGCAUGGAAGGCGAAGCAAGCCGCAUUCAAGAUGUUGUAUGGCAAUUGGGAGGAAGCAUACAACCGACUCCCUAGGUUGUUGUUAGCUAUGGCCGCCACAAACUCAGGCAUGGUUCACGUGGUUGAGCCUCAUGGGCACCAAACACUCAACAUCUAA
rnacentral:rRNA from 1 species